AUACUUACCUAGCAUGAUAUGGGAGGUGGUUUCCUAGGGUUAACCUUAUCCAUUGCACUCUGGGUGUGUUGACCCCUGCAGUUCCCCAAAUGCAGGAAGCUUGGCUGCAUAAUUUGUGGCAGCGGGGACUGAAUGCCAUUUUCCUUG
ensembl:snRNA U1 U1 spliceosomal RNA